GGGCCCGUAGCUCAGUUGGUUAGAGCAAACCGCUCAUAACGGUUUGGCCGUAGGUUCGAGUCCUACCGGGCCCACCA
rnacentral:tRNA from 3 species